CCUUGUCGGGUAAGUUCCGACCCGCACGAAAGGCGUAACGAUUUGGGCACUGUCUCAACAACAGACUCGGUGAAAUUGUAAUGCCGGUGAAGAUGCCGGAUACCUGCGACAGGACGGAAAGACCCCAUGGAGCUUUACUGUAGCUUGACAUUGGGUCUUGGUACUACAUGUACAGGAUAGGUGGGAGGCUUUGAAACCAGGACG
rnacentral:rRNA from 1 species